rnacentral:rRNA from 1 species
AAAAGAAACCAACAGGGAUUGCCCCAGUAACGGCGAGUGAAGCGGCAACAGCUCAAAUUUGAAAUCUGGCCCCCAGGGUCCGAGUUGUAAUUUGCAGAGGAUGCUUUGGGCGAGGUGCCUUCCGAGUUCCCUGGAACGGGACGCCACAGAGGGUGAGAGCCCCGUCUGGUCGGACACCGAGCCUGUGUAAAGCUCCUUCGACGAGUCGAGUAGUUUGGGAAUGCUGCUCAAAAUGGGAGGUAUAUGUCUUCUAAAGCUAAAUAUUGGCCAGAGACCGAUAGCGCACAAGUAGAGUGAUCGAAAGAUGAAAAGCACUUUGAAAAGAGGGUUAAAAAGUACGUGAAAUUGUUGAAAGGGAAGCGCCUAUGACCAGACUUGGGCCCGGUGAAUCAUCCAGCGUUCUCGCUGGUGCACUUUGCCGGGCACAGGCCAGCAUCAGUUUGGCGCGGGGGACAAAGGCUUCGGGAAUGUGGCUCCCUCGGGAGUGUUAUAGCCCGCUGCGUAAUACCCUGCGCCGGACUGAGGUACGCGCAUCGCAAGGAUGCUGGCGUAAUGGUCAUCAGCGACCCGUCUUGAAACACGGACCAAGGAGUCGUCUUCGUAUGCGAGUGUUCGGGUGUCAAACCCCUACGCGUAAUGAAAGUGAACGCAGGUGAGAGCUUCGGCGCAUCAUCGACCGAUCCUGAUGUUCUCGGAUGGAUUUGAGUAAGAGCAUACGGGGCCGGACCCGAAAGAAGGUGAACUAUGCCUGUAUAGGGUGAAGCCAGAGGAAACUCUGGUGGAGGCUCGCAGCGGUUCUGACGUGCGAAUCGAUCGUCAAAUAUGGGCAUGGGGGCGAAAGACUAAUCGAACCUUCUAGUAGCUGGUUUC